GGCUGGAGUGCAGUGGCGCGAUCUCGGCUCACUGCAAGCUCCGCCUCCCGGGUUCACGCCAUUCUCCUGCCUCAGCCUCCUGAGUAGCUGGGACUACAGGCGUCCGCCACCAAACCCGGCUAAUUUCUUUUGUAUUUUUAGUAGAGACGGGGUUUCACCAUGUUACCUAGGAUGGUCUCGAUCUCCUGACCUCAUGAUCCGCCCGCCUUGGCCUCCCAAAGUGCUGGGAUUACAGGCGUGAGCCACCGUGCCCGGCCAAUAAGGGAGAAUUUCUGGAGCAUCUGUAAAUUCUCUACUUUAAGCUGCUUCAAAUAGAAAGCAGCCCUGCUUUUUGUGUUUCUACAAAAGACUGGGCAGAAACCUGCCUGUCCUUCAGGGUCCCAAAUGAGUGUAUGAAGUUCCAGUUUCUUCACAUCUUUGACAACAAUUUCCUAUUAUAUGGCUGGACAGUGGUAACUUAUUGUGGUUUUAAUUUGCAUUUCCCUAAUGUCUAAUGAUGUUGAGCAUCUUUUCAUAUGCUUAUUUGUCAUCUGUAUAGCUUCUUUGGUGAAGCAACAGCUCAAAUAGUUUGCCCAUUUUUUAUUGGAGGUUUGUUUUCUUAUGUAGUUGUAAGAGUUCUUUAUAUAUUCUGAGUACAAGUUCUUUAUGAGAUGUAUCCUUUGAAAUGUUCUUUCCUGGUUGAUGACUUGUCUUUUCAUUAUCUUAACAGUAUAUUUUGAAGAGCAGAAGUUUUUAAUUUUUCUGAAGUUGAAUUUCUUUCUUUCUUUCUUUCUUUUUUUUGAGACAGAGUCUUGCAAUGUCACCCAGGCCGGAGUGCAAUGGCGUGAUCUCGUCUCACUGCAACCUCCACCUCCCGGGAUCAAGCGAUUCUCCUGCCUCAGCCUCCCAAGCAGCUGGGAUUACAGGCGCCCGCCACCAUGCCCGGCUAAUUUUUUGUAUUUUAGUAGAGACGGGGUUUCACUAUGUUGCCCAGGCUGGUCUCAAACACCUGCCCUCGUGAUCCGCCCGCGUCGGCCUCCCAAAGUGCUGGGAUUACAGGUGUGAGUCACUGUGCCCGGCCUCUUUUUCUUUUUGUUUGAGACUGAGUCUCACUCUGUCAUCCAGGCUGGAGUGCAGUGGGACCAUCACAGAUCACUGCAGCCUCAAGCUCCCCGGCUCAAGCGAGCCUUCCACCUCAGUCUCCAGAGUAGCUGAGACUAUAGGCAUGUGCCAUCAUGUCCAGCCAGUUUUUAAAUUUUUUGUAUAGACAGGGUCUUUCUAUGUUGCCAGGGCUGGUCUGGAACUCCUGGGCUCAAGUGAUCUUCCCGCCUCAGCCUCCCAAAGUGCUGUGAUUAGAGGCAUGAGUCACUGUGCCCAGUUUUAAUUUUCUUUUAUGGAUUUUGGUGCUAUACCUAGGAAAUCUUUACCUGACCUAGUAUCACAGACUUUAUUCUAUUUAUAAGAAAUGUUAUAGCUUUAGGUUUUAUGUUUCGGCUAUGAUCCAUUUUGAGUUAAUUUCUGCAUAUGAUAUGAGGUAUGGAUGGGAGUUCAUUGUUUUCCAUCUGGAUAUGCAAUUGUUCCAGCACCAUUUAUUGAAAAGACUAUCCUUGACCCACUGAAUUUUCUUCAUACAUUUGUUAAAAAUCAGUGUCCAUAAUAUGUGGGUGUUUUUCUCAGACUCUCUUGUCAUAGUCAGUUUGGGCUGCUAUGACAGAGCACCAUAAACUGGGUGGUUCAUAAACCACAAAAAUAUUUUUCUCAUAGUUCUGGAAGCUGGAAGUCCAAGAGAAGGUGCCAGCAUGGUAGGGUUCUCCUGAGGGCCCUCUCCAAGUUGUAGAUGGCUUACUUCUUGCUGUAUCUUCACAUAGCAGAGAACAGAGAGGGAAAGCAAGCUCUCUCAUGACUUUAUAAGUACACUAAUUCCAUUAAUGAGGUCUCCAUCCAUACGACCUCAUCUAAACCUAAUCACCUCUCAAAGGUCCCACCUCCUGAUACCAUCAUAUUGGGCAGUAGGGUUUCAACAUAUACAUUUUGAAUAGGACACAAACAUUCAGUCCAUACCACUCAAUUCUAUUGUUUUGUUCUAUUUUUCUAUCUUCACACCAAUAAUACACAGUCUUGAAUACUGUAUAAGUCUUUAUAAGUCUUUAAAUCAGGUAGUAUUUGCCUUCCAAAUUUGUUCUUUUUUUUUCCAAAAUUGUUUUGGUUAUUGCAGUACUUUACAUUUCCACAUAAAUUUUAUAAUCAAUUUGCAAAUUCCAAAAAAAGUCUGCUGGGAUUUUGAUUUGAAUUGCUUUGAAUAUGUAGAACAAAUUGGAAAUAAUUGACAUCAUAACAAUAUUUAGUUUUCUGGAUCAGAACAAAGUAUGACUCUCCAUUUAUUAAGUUAUUCUUUCACUUCUUUCAACAAUGUUUUAUAGUGUUCAGUGUGUAGGCUUUUCACAUCUUAUGUCAGAUUUAUCUCUAU
ensembl:lncRNA novel transcript